rnacentral:rRNA from 1 species
UACGGAGGGUGCGAGCGUUAUUCGGAAUUAUUGGGAGUAAAGAGCGCGUAGGCGGUCUCUUAAGUCAGAUGUGAAAGCCCAGGGCUCAACCCUGGAAGUGCAUUUGAAACUAAGGGACUUGAGUAUGGGAGAGGGAAGUGGAAUUCCUGGUGUAGCGGUGAAAUGCGUAGAUAUCAGGAGGAACAUCGGUGGCGAAGGCGACUUCCUGGACCAAUACUGACGCUGAGGCGCGAAGGCGUGGGGAGCAAACAGG